rnacentral:rRNA from 1 species
CUGGAGGUAUCAGAAGUGCGAAUGCUGACAUAAGUAACGAUAAAGCGGGUGAAAAGCCCGCUCGCCGGAAGACCAAGGGUUCCUGUCCAACGUUAAUCGGGGCAGGGUGAGUCGACCCCUAAGGCGAGGCCGAAAGGCGUAGUCGAUGGGAAACAGGUUAAUAUUCCUGUACUUGGUGUUACUGCGAAGGGGGGACGGAGAAGGCUAUGUUGGCCGGGCGACGGUUGUCCCGGUUUAAGCGUGUAGGCUGGUUUUCCAGGCAAAUCCGGAAAAUCAAGGCUGAGGCGUGAUGACGAGGCACUACGGUGCUGAAGCAACAAAUGCCCUGCUUCCAGGAAAAGCCUCUAAGCAUCAGGUAACAUCAAAUCGUACCCCAAACCGACACAGGUGGUCAGGUAGAGAAUACCAAGGCGCUUGAGAGAACUCGGGUGAAGGAACUAGGCAAAAUGGUGCCGUAACUUCGGGAGAAGGCACGCUGAUAUGUAGGUGAAGUCCCUCGCGGAUGGAGCUGAAAUCAGUCGAAGAUACCAGCUGGCUGCAACUGUUUAUUAAAAACACAGCACUGUGCAAACACGAAAGUGGACGUAUACGGUGUGACGCCUGCCCGGUGCCGGAAGGUUAAUUGAUGGGGUUAGCGCAAGCGAAGCUCUUGAUCGAAGCCCCGG